UCGUCAGUUCGUACUGUGAAGCAUCCUGUUAAGUCAGGCAACGAGCGAGACCCACGCCCACAGUUGCCAGCGUACUCUCUGGAGUGACGGGUACACUGUGGGACCGCCGCUGCUAAAGCGGAGGAAGGAAUGGGCAACGGUAGGUCAGUAUGCCCCGAAUAUCCCGGGCUACACGCGAGCUACAAUGGUUGGUACAAUGGGUAUCUACCCCGAAAGGGGACGGGAAUCUCCUAAAACCAAUCUUAGUUCGGAUUGAGGGCUGCAACUCGCCCUCAUGAAGCUGGAAUCCGUAGUAAUCGCGUUUCAACAGAACGCGGUGAAUACGUCCCUGCUCCUUGU
rnacentral:rRNA from 1 species